rnacentral:rRNA from 1 species
UAAUACGGAGGAUGCGAGCGUUAUCCGGAUUUAUUGGGUUUAAAGGGUGCGUAGGCGGCUUGUUAAGUCAGCGGUAAAAUUUCCGGGCUCAACCCGGUCGUGCCGUUGAAACUGGCAGGCUUGAGUAUGGAUGAAGUGGGCGGAAUUUGUAGUGUAGCGGUGAAAUGCUUAGAUAUUACAAGGAACUCCGAUUGCGCAGGCAGCUCACUAAACCAUAACUGACGCUGAAGCACGAAAGCGUGGGUAUCAAACAGGAUUAGAUACCCUGGUAGUCCACGCAGUAAACGAUGAUCACUCGCUGUUUGCGAUAUACAGCAAGCGGCUUAGCGAAAGCGUUAAGUGAUCCACCUGGGGAGUACGCCGGCAACGGUGAAACUCAAAGGAAUUGACGG